CCAGCAGCUGCGGUAAUUCCAGCUCCACUAGCGUAUAUUAAAGUUGUUGCAGUUAAAAAGCUCGUAGUUGAACUUCUGAUUGUGGUUAGUGUCGGUAUUUAUAUCGCGCUAGCGGCAGUCAUCCGUCUGCAAACUUUUACAUCCUUAACUGGUUUGUCUAAGGGAGCAGGCAUUUUACUUUGAAAAAAUUAGAGUGUUUAAGGCAGGCGUUGCGCCUGAAUACAUUAGCAUGGAAUAAUGGAAUAGGACGCUUGUCUCCAUUUGAUUGGUUAUUGGACUCGCGUAAUGAUUAAUAGGGACAGUUGGGGGCAUUAGUAUUUAAUUGUCAGAGGUGAAAUUCUUGGAUUUAUUAAAGACUAACUUAUGCGAAAGCAUUUGCCAAGGAUGUUUUCAUUAAUCAAGAACGAAAGU
rnacentral:rRNA from 1 species